rnacentral:rRNA from 1 species
GACGAACGCUGGCGGCGUGCUUAACACAUGCAAGUCGAACGAUGACGAAGAGAAACGCGAACUUCGGUUCAAAUUUCACUUCGGAUUAGUGGCAGACGGGUGAGUAACGCGUGAGCAACCUACCUCUUACAAAGGGAUAGCCUCGGGAAACCGUGAUUACUACCAUAUGACACAUUCAUAAGGCAUCUUAAGAAUGUUAAAGCUACGGCGGUAAGAGAUGGGCUCGCGUCCCAUUAGCUAGUUGGUGAGGUAACGGCCCACCAAGGCGACGAUGGGUAACCGGCCUGAGAGGGUGAACGGUCACAUUGGAACUGAGACACGGUCCAAACUCCUACGGGAGGCAGCAGUGGGGAAUAUUGCACAAUGGAGGGAACUCUGAUGCAGCGACGCCGCGUGAGCGAUGAAGGAAGUCGUUUCGUAAAGCUCUGUUCUAUGGGAAGAAAAGGACUGUACCAUAGGAGAAAGCCCCGGCUAAAUACGUG